CAGUCGCCGCGGGAAAACGAAGGGGGCUAGCGUUGCUCGGAAUGACUGGGCGUAAAGGGCGCGUAGGCGGUUCACGCAGUCAGAUGUGAAAUUCCUGGGCUUAACCUGGGGGCUGCAUUUGAGACGCGUGGGCUUGAGUGUGAAAGAGGGUCGUGGAAUUCCCAGUGUAGAGGUGAAAUUCGUAGAUAUUGGGAAGAACACCGGUGGCGAAGGCGGCGACCUGGUUCACAACUGACGCUGAGGCGCGAAAGCGUGGGGAGCAAACAGGAUUAGAUACCCGAGUAGUCCCUGUCUCUUAUAC
rnacentral:rRNA from 1 species